rnacentral:rRNA from 1 species
GAUGAACGCUGGCGGCGUGCCUAAUACAUGCAAGUCGAGCGAACAGACGAGGAGCUUGCUCCUCUGACGUUAGCGCCGGGCGGGGGAGUAACACGUGGAUAACCUACCUAUAAGACUGGGAUAACUUCGGGAAACCGGAGCUAAUACAGGAUAAUAUAUUGAACAGCAUGGUUCAAUAUUGUAAGACGGUUUUCCAGCCACUUAUAGAUGGAUCCGCGCCGCAUUAGCUAGUUGGUAAGGUAACGGCUUACCAAGGCAACGAUGCGUAGCCGACCUGAGAGGGUGAUCGGCCACACUGGAACUGAGACACGGUCCAGACUCCUACGGGAGGCAGCAGUAGGGAAUCUUCCGCAAUGGGCGAAAGCCUGACGGAGCAACGCCGCGUGAGUGAUGAAGGUCUUCGGAUCGUAAAACUCUGUUAUUAGGGAAGAACAAAUGUGUAAGUAACUAUGCACGUCUUGACGGUACCUAAGCAGAAAGCCACGGCUAACUACGUG